rnacentral:rRNA from 1 species
CGGGCGACUGUUUAACAAAAACACAGGUGUAGGUUACGACGAUCUUUGGCUCUGCGCCGACAUGUGAUCAGUGCUUCAAUAGAGUAAACAUCGGCGGUAACUGUAACCGUCCAAAGGUAGCGAAAUUCCUUGUCAGCUAAGUACUGACCUGCAUGAAGCAUAGAACGACUAGAUGGGUGUCUUACGCAAGUUUAAUGGUGAAAUGACACUGGACGUGAAGAUGCGUUCGUUGGGAACAUGACAAGAAGACCCUCAGGAGCUUUAUACGCAAACUAGCGGUACUGUGAUCUGUUUCGGCUACGGUGGUAUACCUCUGUUGCCAUGCAGCAUCACUUUACCAUUCAAUCAGGUGAGGUUCCGUUAGACGGUUUGAUUGGGGCGAUCACCUUCUUUACUCAACGAGAGGUUAACAAAGGAUGGCAAACCCGUCAUGAAAGCGGUACUACACGUAGAAAGGUAGAACCAAUCCUGAGAGCUAGAAGUUAUUCAAUCUAGGCACAAUAGCUGUCUUACUGAUCUUGAAAGCAACUUAAAGGAUAAAAGUUACCCAAGGGAUAACAGGCUUAAUGGGAACAAGAGUUCUUAUCGACUUCCCGUCUUGGCACCUCGAUGUCGGCUUACCUUUUCCAUGAGAGGCACAAGGCUCAAGGGUGGAGGUGCUCACUCCAUUCUAAGGUACACGAGCUGGGUUCAGAACGAUGUAAAUCAGUUUGGUCUAUAUCUAUUCCCUGUACAGCUGGGGUCACGGUAUCUAGUACGCAAGGACCGAUAC